rnacentral:tRNA from 1 species
CGGGCCGUAGCGCAGUCUGGUAGCGCGACUGGUUUGGGACCAGUAGGUCGCCGGUUCGAAUCCGGCCGGCCCGACCA